GUUGUUAUGGCCGAGUGGUUAAGGCGAUGGAUUAGCAAUCCAUUGGGUUUUCCCCACGUAGGCUCGAAUCCUGCUGACUAUG